UACGUAGGGACCAAGCGUUGUUCGGAUUUACUGGGCGUAAAGGGCGCGUAGGCGGCAAUUCAAGUCACUUGUGAAAUCUCCGAGCUUAACUCGGAACGGUCAAGUGAUACUGCUUUGCUAGAGUGCAGAAGGGGCAACCGGAAUUCUUGGUGUAGCGGUGAAAUGCGUAGAUAUCAAGAGGAACACCGGAGGUGAAGACGGGUUGCUGGGCUGACACUGACGCUGAGGCGCGAAAGCUAGGGUAGCAAACAGG
rnacentral:rRNA from 1 species